UCUCAGUUCGGAUCGAAGUCUGCAACCCGACUUCGUGAAGCUGGAUUCGCUAGUAAUCGCGCAUCAGCCACGGCGCGGUGAAUACGUUCCCGGGCCUUGUACACACCGCCCGUCAAGCCAUGGGAGCCGGGGGUACCUGAAGUACGUAACCGCAAGGAGCGUCCUAGGGUAAAACUGGUGACUGGGGCUAAGUCGUAACAAGGUACC
rnacentral:rRNA from 1 species